AAUCCAUAGGUUAAUGAGGCGAACCGGGGGAACUGAAACAUCUAAGUACCCCGAGGAAAAGAAAUCAACCGAGAUUCCCCCAGUAGCGGCGAGCGAACGGGGAGGAGCCCAGAGCCUGAAUCAGCAUGUGUGUUAGUGGAAGCGUCUGGAAAGGCGCGCGAUACAGGGUGACAGCCCCGUACACAAAAGCGCAUGUGCUGUGAGCUCGAUGAGUAGGGCGGGACACGUGGUAUCCUGUCUGAAUAUGGGGGGACCAUCCUCCAAGGCUAAAUACUCCUGACUGACCGAUAGUGAACCAGUACCGUGAGGGAAAGGCGAAAAGAACCCCGGCGAGGGGAGUGAAAAAGAACCUGAAACCGUGUACGUACAAGCAGUGGGAGCACAGGUUUACCUGUGUGACUGCGUACCUUUUGUAUAAUGGGUCAGCGACUUAUAUUCUGUAGCAAGGUUAACCGAAUAGGGGAGCCGGAGGGAAACCGAGUCUUAAUUGGGCGUUAAGUUGCAGGGUAUAGACCCGAAACCCGGUGAUCUAGCCAUGGGCAGGUUGAAGGUUGGGUAACACUAACUGGAGGACCGAACCGACUAAUGUUGAAAAAUUAGCGGAUGACCUGUGGCUGGGGGUGAAAGGCCAAUCAAACCGGGAGAUAGCUGGUUCUCCCCGAAAGCUAUUUAGGUAGCGCCUCGUGAAUUCAUCUCCGGGGGUAGAGCACUGUUUCGGCUAGGGGGCCAUCCCGGCUUACCAACCCGAUGCAAACUGCGAAUACCGGAGAAUGUUAUCACGGGAGACACACGGCGGGUGCUAACGUCCGUCGUGAAGAGGGAAACAACCCAGACCGCCAGCUAAGGUCCCAAAGUCAUGGUUAAGUGGGAAACGAUGUGGGAAGGCCCAGACAGCCAGGAUGUUGGCUUAGAAGCAGCCAUCAUUUAAAGAAAGCGUAAUAGCUCACUGGUCGAGUCGGCCUGCGCGGAAGAUGUAACGGGGCUAAACCAUGCACCGAAGCUGCGGCAGCGAACGUAUCACUUAAAGCGAUUCAGCGGGUUACGAUUGACGGAGCGAAGCGACGUCAAAGCGUAUACAAAGUCGAGUCGGUUUAAGGAUACGUU
rnacentral:rRNA from 2 species